GAGAAACUGUGACUCUUCAUCUCCCCUGUGUUCUAAAAUAGCAAGAGAUAAACAGGAAAAUGGGGAGACACGUUCUGCUUCAUAUUGUUUGGUUCUCCAGUCAGCUCAGCCUCUGAUAUUAAUAACUUCCUGUUUUGUUUGAAGCCUUCUGACAAGUGAGGAGCCUUCAUUUCAGUCUGAACUCCGGCACCCGAAUGGCCAACGUGUUUCCGGACUCUGGGCAACAAAUUCCAGUUUUCUGCUUACCUCUAGGCCAGAAUUUUAGAACUGAAAGUCAAACUGAUGAAAAUUGCAUGCCUGAACCACCUGUGAGUUGCCAAAGUACAAAUGCCCUGGCUUUCACAGCAGGUGGACACCUGCAGCCCCUGAUUCUGAUGAACUUCUGCUGUGAACUAUUUCCUGUGGAUAACAUGCAGAAGAAGCAGAGUCCCCCAGCAUGCCUGACUGAUGUGUACUGCCCACAGCUGCCACGCCGUGUAACCAGGAACCAACUCCAGACUGUGGUAUGCAGUGGGAUAGCUUGAACGCAGCAGUUCUAGGAGGGUUAAAAAUUAAACCAGCAAUCAAGAUCUAAAGCGGCGCUGGGUUUAAAAGACUGGCAAGGUUCAGCUGUGAGUCAAUUCAUUAGUUGCAGUUAAUAUUGCUAGAAGAGCUUGACAAAAGGAAACACGAAGCAACUGAAAAGAAACAUCCUUAAGGUGAAUGUCAAAGUUUUUGCAUCCAGCAAAGAAACGAAAAGCUGAAUACAGAAGAGAAAGCACUGGUUCCCAUUGAGUGGUUACAGAGGAAACAAUCGUACUACUACAGAGACCUGACUAGAGAAUGAAUCUCAUGACUGGCUUAUCUCCUCCAGGACUGGUUUCCUGCCUUGUAAUAUUUCAAAUCCUUGACUGCUUGCUGCUGCAGAUGGAGUAUUGGUUACCCUCCAUCAUCGGUCUGGCUGCGAAGACUUCCUGUGCUUGACAAGUUGAUUACUUCGUCAAGGUGAAUGUUCAGUCGAGUCUGUCUGGAGGACCUCUGUGUGUCUGAUGCCAGCUGGUUUCUCACCAGACGCACUGUUUCACCAGGCACAGAAUAAUAUGAGGAGAAAAAAUGGGAUUUUGAGGGGCUUUUUUCCCCACUCCCUUUUUGAGGUUGGUGUUGCUCCAGUUUAUCCCAGUAGGAUGUAGGUGGAUAACUCUCUAAAUGCAGCCAUCUUCUAUAUGGAGAGCAAACCUCUCUGAUGAAAUGCCGCUGUCCUUUAUAUGUGGUUUUCCCUGCCUUUAGGAUCCCCAAAAGAGGUUAGAUAGCUUGGAAGCUGUGGCAUUAACAGUGCUUUCAUAUUGUCCAUUGUGUAUCAUCAAGGAAGCGCAGUAAAACCCAAAUAAAUUAAAUGAAUUUCAUUGCAGUUCCUGAGGGAGAGCAGGAUGCUUUACUUGUGAGUUUCAAGUCAGGUCAGGAGGGUUGGAUCUCCACAGAGAAACUGCUGACACAGGCCCAGAAAUGUCAUUAGUAAGGUAAAGAAAAACAUCCAAACUUCUCUUAAUAGUCCUUUGUGAAUACUUUAUAGGAAGUGGCAUCCAGACAACAAUAGGUAUUAAGAAAUUGGGAAAUAACAGUAAACAGCACAAAGUAAACAGCACAGAGAAAACUGUGUGUGCUUUCUGAGAAGGUAAGGAAACUGCAUCACAAUGCUGAGUGCUUCAGGAGAGAAAAUUCUCAUAACUUCCAUAGCCAAACAUUGCUUGGGACCAGGGCGUGAAUGACUCCUCUGUGCUACUGCUGAGAGGGUGUUGCAACUUCUUGGCAGGUUACAGAAAAUAGAAUGUUGGCCAGCUUCAUUAUCUGGUGGUACAGGAACAUUUGUUUCUCUAGCCACAUGUGGCUGUGUCUGACCAUCUUGGGUAUCCAAGCAGGGAGUUCAAAGGAAAACCCUGUAGGCUUGGUUUUCAAAGGGACUUAUUUCCAGUAAGUGUGAACCUUGUUUCUAAAAGGAGAGAAAUCCUUGUUUACUCUUCUAGGAACUCAUAUUUCUGACAUAUUGUAGCAGAAAUAAUAAGCAAAAGCAUACUACAGUGGUGAGGUGAAUCCAGGGAGCAUGGCAACUGCUGCCAGACCAGCAUCUGCAGCCAAACCAGCCCCUGGUGCAUCAUGAGCACCGUCCCUGGCAGAUGUGGUCCUGGGGUUACUGUCCUCAACAGAUCCCAUAUUAACACCUCAGUGAGGAGAAGAAUCAUAGAAUCACAGAAUAUCCUGAAUUGAAAGAGGCCUACAAGGACCAUCAGCUUAACUCCUGGCUUCGCAUAGGAACACACAAAAUUGAAAUCCUAUGUCUGCAACUGUUGUCCAAACACUCCUCAAAUCCAGCAGCUGAGGCCAUGCCCACCGCCCUGAAGAGCCUCUUCCAUGCCCACCACCCUCCGGUAAAGAACCUUUUCCUAAAACCGAGGCUGACCCUCCUUCUGGUGCAGCUCCAUGCUGUUAAAGAACGAUGGAGUUUUUCCUGUGUCCCACCAUACCUGACAAGGCAAGGAUGUGUUGCAGUCCCUAUAAAUUGAGCUAUUUCAGACCGACUUUGUGCAAGAGUGGAAGAAGAGCAAUAUGUAGCCACUUUUAUCCCCUUGGAAAGGUAGAGGCAGGAGAGCAGGCUGCCAGACCUCCAGAGAAGCAAGGGUCUCCAUCAGGGCAUUUCCUAGCAGGAGGCAAGAAGAUCAUGCUUUCUCUCCUGUCAUUUAUUCCCUGAUGACUAUUUUCUUUGCUUCCUCCAGGCCCAGGGCCAGGAGGGCCAGCACUGGGAACACGUCCUGGUGCAUAGCCAGGGACGCAGCAGUGUCCUGCUGAGAGCAGUGGCCCGGGGCCGGGCACACAGCAUCCAGCCCUCCCCUGGAGACUGGUGUUUGCUGAGGGAUGCAAGGUAACCUCAGCAUUGAAAAUAGCUGGGACGUUGGCCAGCGAAGAUUAAUGGCAUCAUUAACAUCUCCAGUUUAUUUAUAGGUUUUAAAAAGUCUCCAACCUGUAAACAAAGCAGAGUUAUGCUGCGUAAUGCAGAGAAUCACAGGUUUACCUCCUUCCCACUCCUCUUAUUUCAUCCUUGUUGUUGAGACUGUAAAACCCCUGGGGCAGGACUGGCUCACUGCAAACUUACAUUAUAAACCUUCUCAAUGAGGGGGAUACGCACUGUUGUUUUUUUUUCCCAUGAAUGCCAUGUUUGUCUGGUCUCCUUUCUCCACUCAGCUCUUUCUGUGCUUUGUCCCGUGGCCCCUGUUACGGAAAAUUCUCUUUUUGAAGAAUUCCUGAGGCCCAGGUUGGGAAGUCAUCACAGGAAUUAGUGAUUUUCUGCCUUAGGCCUUAAGCUGCAAGCUUUGUGUGAGGAGGAUUGAGCAUCUUGUAGCUGUGGAGAGCACCUAGGCCGUGCAUGGCCCCAGUGAAGCGUGCAGAUGUUAUUAAUGACCCUGGGGUCUUCCUACAGGCACUCAGGGCCACUCAGUUCCCAGGUUCUCGAGAAACUUGAAGGGCUGUCAAGAAAAGAAAAAGCAUGUUGGCCCCAGAACAGGAGUUCUCAGCACGUGAGCUGCAGCCACACCACCUGGCCCAUCUCCAGGAGCUCAGGAGAAGGUAAGGUAGAAAGAGGGCCUGUUGGCAGCAGGCAGCAGGGAUCUGCUGCAGAGGUGUAUGGGUGGAGGGGGAAAGAAAAAUGUGAGAACAGGCCCCUCUAGGCACACAGUGAUCACAUUAUGAAGAUGUGUUUUGGAGGGCAACCACCGUUCGUUUUGCUGUUUGUGAUGUGUUAAUCUGAGUUGUACUCCCAUGGCUCUCUCUCCUGGGCCUUUUGUCUUCUAGGGGGUAAAAUAAAGAAUUGGCAGAGAAUUUCUCA
ensembl:lncRNA